GUGGGGAAUAUUGGACAAUGGGCGAAAGCCUGAUCCAGCCAUGCCGCGUGUGUGAAGAAGGUCUUCGGAUUGUAAAGCACUUUAAGUUGGGAGGAAGGGCAGUAAGUUAAUACCUUGCUGUUUUGACGUUACCGACAGAAUAAGCACCGGCUAACUUCGUGCCAGCAGCCGCGGUAAUACGAAGGGUGAAAGCGUUAAUCGGAAUUCCUGGGCGUAAAGCGCGCGUAGGUGGUUUUGUAAGUUGGAGGUGAAAUCCCCGGGGUAAACCUGGGAACUGCCUCCAAAACUGCAUGACUAGAGUACGGUAGAGGGUAGUUGAAUUUCCUGUGUAGCGGUGAAAUGCGUAGAUAUAGGAAGGAACACCAGUGGCGAAGGCGACUACCUGGACUGAUACUGACACUGAGGUGCGAAAGCGUGGGGAGCAAACAGGAUUAGAAACCCGAGUAGUCC
rnacentral:rRNA from 1 species